rnacentral:misc_RNA from 1 species
UCGCGGCUUAUCACCGGCAGUCCCCUUAGAGUGCCCAACUGAAUGAUGGCAACUAAAGGUGAGGGUUGCGCUCGUUGCGGGACUUAACCCAACAUCUCACGACGCGAGCUGACGACAGCCAUGCAGCACCUGUGUGUCGGUCACCGAAGUGAAGAAAUCCAUCUCUGGAAAUCGUCCGACCAUGUCAAGGGCUGGUAAGGUUCUUCGCGUUGCUUCGAAUUAAACCACAUGCUCCACCGCUUGUGCGGGCCCCCGUCAAUUCAUUUGAGUUUUAAUCUUGCGACCGUACUCCCCAGGCGGAGAGCUUAAUGCGUUAGCUGCGCCACUGAAAGGUAAACCUUCCAACGGCUAGCUCUCAUAGUUUACGGCGUGGACUAC